AUUGAACGCUGGCGGCAUGCCUUACACAUGCAAGUCGAACGGUAACGCGGGGCAACCUGGCGACGAGUGGCGAACGGGAGAGUAAUGUAUCGGAACGUGCCCAGUUGUGGGGGAUAACUGCUCGAAAGAGCAGCUAAUACCGCAUACGACCUGAGGGUGAAAGCGGGGGAUCGCAAGACCUCGCGCAAUUGGAGCGGCCGAUAUCAGAUUAGGUAGUUGGUGGGGUAAAGGCCCACCAAGCCAACGAUCUGUAGCUGGUCUGAGAGAGCGAACAGGCACGCUGGGAAUGAGACGCGGCCCAGACUCCUACGGGAGGCAGCAGUGGGGAAUUUUGGACAAUGGACGCUAGUCUGAUCCAGCCAUGCCGCGUGCGGGAAGAAGGCCUUCGGGUUGUAAACCGCUUUUGUCAGGGAAGAAACGCUCUGGGUUAAUACCUCGGGGUAAUGACGGUACCUGAAGAAUAAGCACCGGCUAACUACGUGCCAGCCGCCGCGGUAACAC
rnacentral:rRNA from 1 species